rnacentral:rRNA from 3 species
CAACAGGGAUUGCCCCAGUAACGGCGAGUGAAGCGGCAACAGCUCAAAUUUGAAAUCUGGCUCUCGGGCCCGAGUUGUAAUUUGUAGAGGAUGCUUUUGGUGAGGUGCCUUCCGAGUUCCCUGGAACGGGACGCCAUAGAGGGUGAGAGCCCCGUCUGGUUGGACGCCGAACCUCUGUAAAGCUCCUUCGACGAGUCGAGUAGUUUGGGAAUGCUGCUCUAAAUGGGAGGUAUAUGUCUUCUAAAGCUAAAUACCGGCCAGAGACCGAUAGCGCACAAGUAGAGUGAUCGAAAGAUGAAAAGAACUUUGAAAAGAGAGUUAAACAGUACGUGAAAUUGUUGAAAGGGAAGCGCUUGUGACCAGACUUGGGCUUGGUUGAUCAUCCGGGGUUCUCCCCGGUGCACUCUUCCGGCCCAGGCCAGCAUCAGUUCGCCCUGGGGGACAAAGGCUUCGGGAACGUGGCUCUCUCCGGGGAGUGUUAUAGCCCGUUGCGUAAUACCCUGUGGCGGACUGAGGUUCGCGCAUUCGCAAGGAU